GUGCUCAAUUCUGCACAUGAACUAAAAUUGAAAUGAUAUAGAGGUUAGCAUGGGCCCUGCACAAGGAUGAGACACAAAUUCAUGAAGUAUUCCAUACUUUA
rnacentral:snRNA from 1 species